ACGGGAGAGUAACGCGUAAUCAACCUGCCCUUCAGAGGGGGACAACAGUUGGAAACGACUGCUAAUACCGCAUACGAUCUAAUCUCGGCAUCGAGGAAAGAUGAAAGGUGGCCUCUAUGUAUAAGCUAUCACUGAAGGAGGGGAUUGCGUCUGAUUAGCUAGUUGGUGAGGUAACGGCUCACCAAGGCAACGAUACAUAGCCGACCUGAGAGGGUGAUCGGCCACACUGGGACUGAGACACGGCCCAGACUCCUACGGGAGGCAGCAGUAGGGAAUCUUCGGCAAUGGACGGAAGUCUGACCGAGCAACGCCGCGUGAGUGAAGAAGGUUUUCGGAUCGUAAAGCUCUGUUGUAAGAGAAGAACGAGUGUGAGAGUGGAAAGUUCACACUGUGACGGUAUCUUACCAGAAAGGGACGGCUAACUACGUGCCAGCAGCCGCGGUAAUACGUAGGUCCCGAGCGUUGUCCGGAUUUAUUGGGCGUAAAGCGAGCGCAGGCGGUUAGAUAAGUCUGAAGUUAAAGGCUGUGGCUUAACCAUAGUACGCUUUGGAAACUGUUUAACUUGAGUGCAAGAGGGGAGAGUGGAAUUCCAUGUGUAGCGGUGAAAUGCGUAGAUAUAUGGGAGGAACACCGGGUGGCGAAAGCGGCUCUCUGGCUUGUAACUGACGCUGAGGCUCGAAAGCGUGGGGAGCAAACAGGAUUAGAUACCCU
rnacentral:rRNA from 1 species